rnacentral:rRNA from 1 species
AGUGGCGGACGGGUGAGUAACACGUGAGAAUUUACCUUUAGGAGGGGGACAACAAUUGGAAACGAUUGCUAAUACCCCAUAUGCUCUAGAGUGAAACGGAUUUUUCCGCCUAAAGAAAAGCUCGCGGCUGAUUAGCUUGUUGGUAAGGUAAUGGCUUACCAAGGCGACGAUCAGUAUCUGGUUUGAGAGGACGAUCAGACACACUGGAACUGAGACACGGUCCAGACUCCUACGGGAGGCAGCAGUGGGGAAUUUUCCGCAAUGGGCGAAAGCCUGACGGAGCAAUACCGCGUGAGGGAAGACGGCCUAUGGGUUGUAAACCUCUUUUUUCAGGGAGGAACAAAAUGACGUGUACCUGAAGAAUAAGCAUCGGCUAACUCCGUGCCAGCAGCCGCGGUAAGACGGAGGAUGCAAGUGUUAUCCGGAAUCACUGGGCGUAAAGCGUCUGUAGGUGGUUUGUUAAGUCAACUGUUAAAUCUUGAGGCUCAACUUCAAAUCAGCAGUCGAAACUAUCAGACUAGAGUAUAGUAGGGGUAAAGGGAAUUUCCAGUGGAGCGGUGAAAUGCGUAGAUAUUGGAAAGAACACCGAUGGCGAAGGCACUUUACUGGGCUAUUACUAACACUCAGAGACGAAAGCUAGGGUAGCAAAUGGGAUUAGAUACCCCAGUAGUCCUAGCUGUAAACAAUGGAUACUAGAUGU